AUGGGAGAGCCAUUGAGUGCCACCUCUUUGGUGGUACUAGCAUUGCUAAGCUGCCUAGCUACAAGAAAUGUGGAGGCUCAGGAUGCAAUGUGGAUGAAGCCUGCAUCAAAGGGUGCUCAACCUUCUCAGGUAACACAAGCCAAUCCUUUUCCACAGCCAGGACAACCUACAUUUCCUCAACCAGUGCCACAGCCAGGACUGCCUACAUAUCCUGGACAGCAAGGGAUCAACCCAGUGCCACAGACAGGACUGCCUACAUAUCCUAAACCAGUGCCACAGCCAGGACAGCCUACAUAUCCUGGACAACCUAACAUCAAACCAGCUCCGCAACCAAGACCCCCUACAUAUCCUACAAAUCCUGGACAACCUAACAUCAAACCAGCUCCGCAACCAAGACCCCCUACAUAUCCUACAUAUCCUGGACAACCUAACAUCAAACCAGCUCCACAACCAAAACCCCCUACAUAUCCUGGACAACCUAAUAUCCAACCACCUGCGCAACAAAGACCCUCUAUAUAUCCUGGACAACCUAAUAUCCACCCACCCUCAACAAAGACCCUCUACAUAUCCUGGACAACCUAAUAUCCAACCACCUGAACAUAGCAACAAAGACCCUACAUAUCCUGGACAACCUAAUAUCCACCACCUCACAAAGACCCUCUACAUAUCCUGGACAACCUAAUAUCCAACCACCUACGCAACAAAGACCCUCUACAUAUCCUGGACAACCUAAUAUCCAACCACCUACACAACAAAGACCCUCUACAUAUCCAUCACAAAAUCAAGUGUACUAUGACCAGUCUCGACAGGAGCCACAGAUCUCUCCACCACAGAAACCAGAAUACCAACCUCGCCCAGUGUUGCCAAAGGACCCUAAUGACUUGAGUUGUGAGGUGGACCGCAAUGUGAGGAUCCCAUGUGGAAGUCCUCAAAUCUCUGCUGCUGGAUGUGAAGCCAUAAACUGUUGCUUUGAUGGCCAACAGUGCUUCUUCGGAAAGGCUGUGACCAUCCAAUGUACAAAGGAUGCUCAGUUCAUUGUUGUCGUGGCCAGAGAUGCAACACUGCCCAACAUUGACCUUGAGUCAAUCUCAAUGUUGGGGGAAGGUCAAGGCUGUACACACGUUGACUCUAAUUCAGCCUUUGCCAUCUACCAGUUUGCAGUUACUGGCUGUGGCUCUGUUGUUUGGGAGGAGCCUGGGACUAUAGUCUACGAGAACCGUAUGUCAUCCUCAUUUGAGACGUUAGUAGGGGAAAGUGGAAUAAUUACCAGGGAUAGCCAGUUUGAAUUGACUUUCCAAUGCAGGUUUAGAGGCUCUUCUGUGGAAGUCUUGGUUGUGGAAGUAUUACCAUUACAAGAGCCUCCUUUACCUGUUGCUGCUUUUGGACCGAUCAGCGUACAAAUGAGGUUGGCUAACGGGCAGUGCUUAACAAAGGGUUGUAAUGAAGUGGAUGCAGCCUAUAGCUCUUUCUAUACGGAUGCAGACUACCCUGUGACCAAAGUACUGAGGGACCCAGUGUAUGUGGAGGUUCAGCUCCUUGAGAAGACAGAUCCAAACCUAGUCUUGACUCUUGGUCACUGUUGGACAACCACAAGCCUCAACCCUCACAGCCUGCCCCAGUGGGACAUUCUGAUAGAUGGGUGUCCAUACAGGGACGAUCGCUACUUGUCCUCACUGGUUCCAGUCGGUGUCUCCUCUGGUCUGAACUUCCCAAGUCACUACAGGCGUUUCAUUUUCAAAAUGUUUACAUUUGUGGACACCAGCACACUAACGCCCAUGAGGGAGCAGGUGUACAUCCACUGUAGUACAACUGUGUGCAGUGCCGCUUCUGGCAGUUGUGAGCCAUCAUGCUUUGCGAAAAACAGGAAAAGGAGAGACGUUGAAGCUACAUACCAGGUGAUGAAUGAACCAAAGGUUGUGGUGUCUUCUGGACCUGUGGACAUGUACUUCCCUGCAGAAACCAGCGAAGAAUGAGGAGCAUGAGCAUUUGGCUGAGACCAUUUAGUACAACAUCUAUAGCAUUAACAUGGUGCAGUUAUCUGUGGUGAGAAAUCAGACAUAUAUUGUGUGUAUGCCAACACAGUUUGCAACAGAAAGAAUGAAAUGUAUCGCCAAAGUCUUGUAGUCAAAUUUGUAUUAAAAAAAAUAUUGGCUUUUAUGUGCUGUAAAUAAUUUAUUUUGGGUAAAUUGGGUAAUUGUUUUUCAUUAACUGUCAGUGACAUCCUAAAAAAGAAUGAACCACUAGCAGUAAUAUUCAACUUUAAUUUGAAAAUAAUGUUUUCUUUGAAUGUUUGCUGAAACAAAAAUCCACUGAACUGUGUUGAUGUGAGUUUAGAAUUGAGUUAUUUUAAAUGUAAAGCUGAUAAAACACAACAUUCUUGUCAUCAUA